rnacentral:rRNA from 1 species
GCGAAAACUUUACAAUGCUGGCAACAGCGAUAAGGGAACCUCGAGUGCCAGGUUACAAAUCUGGCUGUCGAGAUGCCUAUAAAGCAUUUCAUAGCAAGGGCCGGGCAAGACUGGUGCCAGCCGCCGCGGUAACACCGGCGGCUCGAGUGGUAACCGUUAUUAUUGGGUCUAAAGGGUCUGUAGCCGGCCGGAUAAGUCUCUUGAGAAAUCUGGCAGCUUAACUGUCAGGCUUUCAGGAGAUACUGUCUGGCUCGAGGCCGGGAGAGGUGAGAGGUACUUCAGGGGUAGGGGUGAAAUCUUGUAAUCCUUGGAGGACCACCAGUGGCGAAGGCGUCUCACCAGAACGGACCUGACGGCAAGGGACGAAAGCUAGGGGCACGAACC